GAUGAACGCUAGCUACAGGCUUAACACAUGCAAGUCGAGGGACCGGCGCACGGGUGAGUCACACGUAUCCAACCUGCCCUUUACUCGGGGAUAGCCUUUCGAAAGAAAGAUUAAUACCCGAUGUAAAGGACGGGGAUGCGUUCCAUUAGGUUGUUGGUGAGGUAACGGCUCACCAAGCCUUCGAUGGAUAGGGGUUCUGAGAGGAAGGUCCCCGACAUGGGAACGGAGACACGGACCAAACUCCUACGGGAGGCAGCAGUGAGGAAUAUUGGUCAAUGGGCGUUAGCCUGAACCAGCCAAGUAGCGUGAAGGAUGAAGGCUUAUGGGUCGUAAACUUCUUUUAUAUAAGAAUAUGUAUUAUAUGAAUAAAGAUCGGCUAACUCCGUGACAGCAGCCGCGGUAAUUC
rnacentral:rRNA from 1 species